rnacentral:rRNA from 1 species
GGUUGCGAUCAUACCAGCACUAAUGCACCGCAUCCCAUUAGAACUCCGUAGUUAAGCGUGCUUGGGCGAGAGUAAUACUAGGAUGGGUGAACCCCCGGGAAGUCCUCGUGUUGCAACCCCCG